GACGAACGCUGGCGGCGUGCUUAACACAUGCAAGUCGAACGGAGUGGCGAACGGGUGAGUAACACGUGGGUGACCUGCCCUGCACUUCGGGAUAAGCCUGGGGAACUGGGUCUAAUACCGGAUAGUGUGGGAUGGGCCCGCGGCCUAUCAGCUUGUUGGUGGGGUAGUGGCGUACCAAGGCGGGGACUGGUAGCCGGCCUGAGCGGGUGGACGGCCACAUGGGGACUGAGAGACGGCCCAGACGCGUAAGGGAGGCAGCAGUGGGGAAUAUGGCACAAUGGGCGGAAGGCUGAUGCAGAGACGCCGGGUGGGGGAUGACGGCUUUAGGGGUGGAAACUCGUUUCACCAUAGACGCGGUAGUGGCAGAAGAAGCACCGGCUAACUACGUGCCAGCCGCCGCGGUAAUAC
rnacentral:rRNA from 1 species